rnacentral:rRNA from 1 species
AUGUUUGGUGUCAGUCUAUCUGUGCUACAGCUCAAGCUUCAUUUGCCAAACAUGCAUACAAUUGCGUUUAAAGCUUUUGAAAAUCUAGAACAUGUUGUCGCUCGACCAUCUUCUUUCAAGUCCAUGCUUACAGAGUACUUUGAGAUGAACCGAAAAUUUCCAGCGGGACGGAAAUGGUUGUAUAGAGAGUUUUUAGAACAUUAUAGAUGGAUAGCUGGAAAAAAUAUGUGGCAAAAUAGAAGAAAUAAGAGAGCACAGAUUGGAAGACUUGUGUAUGCACAUCCUGCUGAAGGAGAGAGGUACUAG